rnacentral:lncRNA from 1 species
GAUUACCUCCGAGGCUUGACUCCGGAGCCGGUGACGUUGUUUUAGAACUGACACUCGGGAUCAGGAUAUUGAAAUGUAGGAAGAAUUGCGCGUCCAGGUUCUUACAGCGUGUGGGAGGAAAAGCUUUUAUGUAGGCAAGAAAAGUAGUUGAUUCCAGCCGUGGUGAGCGAGCCCCGAACGUCUGCUGCUUCUCCCCCUAAAGCGAAUCUUGCGGAUGAGAGGAUCUGGGUGCACAGGGCUGAAACCUAGGAGAAAGACUCUGGAAGGUACACAAAAAUAGUGAUUCAGUACGAAGUGACCGGGUAGCAUCAUCCGGGUCCGAGUGGAGCCAAGGAGCUGGCCCUGCAGAGUCAGCAGGCUCUGGGAGUCACUUGCGGUCUGUGGCCUCAGCGUGGCGGGGUGGUUGCUGGUGGCCCGCCGGGACAGUGGUAGGCGACGCAGGCAAGGGGGCCACUAGUAGAGAGGUGCUACUGGGGCUUAAGGAAUCGUGGCUGCCGCCAAAGGAAAGACAUUCCCGAACUCCGGAGUCCUCAUCGGAUCUGCCGCCUGUUUAUCUGCAAGCGAUGCUUGCUUCGUCCAGGGCAAUGUCGAAGAGCGCACAGGCCGGCCCAUACCGGCAAGGUUCUAUCCUAGAGGGAGGAGGAAGUUCGGGGUUUCCUUACCCUCACAUAUGUUAUCUUGGGACUUCUCCAGGCUGUUGGCUUUCUGGAAUUCAAAUGCUCUUCAACUGGUAGAAUCCAAGAUAACAAGCUUAAACGGAUUUAAACAUCCGCCCCCCCACACACCCCCCUCCCAAAUCUCAGAAAUGAUGGUGUUCAAAAGCAACAUGGUUUUAUCCCAAACUCUAGCCCCUUUGCCCUCCCACUCUGCCUUCUGACCUUCCCGUGGCCCCUGGACCUUGAUGCAAAUGCACGCAUGUGUGUAUGCCUGUAGGUAGGUGUGGGGUGUCUCUUAUUUAGGGGCUCGUAUCUCAUACUCAAACUACUUCCUCAAGGCUCGGGCCUAGCUCACCAGUGGGUGGAGUGGAGGGGUCCUAAAGAAGGAAAGAGCAGAUUGGGGAGAAGGAGGGUUGAAGAUGUUACAUUCUGGACAUUUAGAUAAAGAGUAAGGUUGAGGGAUGGAUGUAAGUGUGUGUGUGUGUGUGUGUGUGUGUGUGUGUGUGUGUGUGUUGGGAGUUGAUUUUCUCUGUGCAUGAUUUCUCUGUGCACCGUGAAUUGAGAAAGCCAGCCAGUCCUUUGGGGCACUGAAGCCGCAGGACCCAAGAAUGGCCACCGCGGCCGGGGGCGCGGCGACCGCUACCAGGAGCUGUUGUUUUCCAGACUUGGAAUUCCUGAGCGCUCUUCUCCAGCCCUGAGCUGAGCGGGGGAGGGAGCCGUGACCCCACGGAGACUCCCCGGUCACCGCCUCCCUUUUGUGAGAUCGAAAGGCAUGAAAGCCUAGAGAAAGAGGAUCUGCAGGGAAUGAGGGCCAGGGGGUUACUCGAGGGAGAUGGGCCUAGCAACAACCACAGUAAAAUGCUUAGCGCAAAUCGCAGCGAAGUGUACCCAACUCGAGACUGGCUGUUUUAUGACCCUUUCUAGGAGUUUACUGCUCUGUGCUUUUAAGUCUAUAGAUUGCUUUAAGUUAAUGAAAGUGCGGCUUUCAAAGGGGCCUUUUUAUUGUGCGGCAGCGACAAAUCUAGUACCUCCCCUUUACUCUUCCAAAAUGGGCCCAUUUAGAAGGAGGGAGCUUGCUGGGAUUCCCACAUGAACAGAGCUGGGGGGUGGGGGUGGGGGGAAGAACACCACUUGAAAAUGGGGAUUAAUAAAAGACAGCGUUCCGCGUAAUUCAGAAAGAUAAGUUAACUUCUCCCUCAUCCAGUUUCAUCUGUGCAUCCUUCAGUUGCCUCUGGGCUUUCCCAGAAGCUAGCUAGCUUUAAAGGUUGCUCAGUGCCUCCCUGGUAGCCCCCUCCCACACUGCUUUAUAUAAAGCCCGACCCUCCUCAAUUCAAUAACACAAACUGGGUUUCAGGAUUUUAACGCGGGUACUAAUUCAGACUAAAAUAUUUACUUGUGCCCUGGGGGAGGGGCCUUGCCUUGCAAUCAGCAAGAUGGAUCGGUUUAAAAGGCUGGGAACCCAAGGAAGAACAAGGCAGGCUGUUUUCAGCGGGUUUUUUUUUUUUCUUCCUCCUUUCAAUCUAUUUGGCACAAAAGGUGAGAUGACAAGGAUUUUGACUAACACAGAAACUGCAGUGGGGCCUGCCUGUGGCUUUGACCGCAUGUCAUAACCAUUUAAACUGUGGUUACUUGCUCAAAGCUCAAAGCUUCUCCAAGCUGGGUUUCAUUAACUCUACACCAGUUGCCUGGAAGUUCAGUAGCAAUAAAUUGCAUAAACACAUUUGAAGUAAGUUAGUGAUGAAAUAAGGAGAAUUACUGUCUUGUGAGUGGGGAAUCCUGAAUUCAUGGAGUUUUGACUUAAGUGGAAACACACUUUGCCUCUCUUGGCCUUAAAGUUUAUAGGUACACCAGAGUGUGUGUUAAAUUUCUUUCUGCCAUGUCCAUCUUCAGCCCUGGGCUGUAACCCAUUAGAGACCAAGGCGUGCAUGCCUAGAAAGCAGAAGGCUGCAUUUAAAAGGGGUCUCUAUUAGCUCCAUUUAGGAACUGAAGCAGAGCGAGCGAUCAAGAUCAACCUGAUUUUCUUGCCCUUACUGAACGCAUUGGGCAACAUAAACAGCCUCAGCGCGGGACAAAUUAGAUUUUUAAAUGUUAGAAGCUUAAUAAUACUGUGUGUGUGUGUGUGUGUGUGUGUGUGUUUUUAAAUUAAAGAAACAACCAAUAAAAUUUAUAGGCUCCC